rnacentral:lncRNA from 1 species
AAUGCAGCCUUGCACUCAGGAAGCCCUGAUGUUUAAAGGAACUGUGUCUUUGUUCUUCCUCUCUUCCCUCUUUCUCUUAGUCCCACUUUAUCUCUUCUUUCUCUUCCUCUCCCUCCUCCUUUUCCCCUCUCCCUCCUACUCUCCCCCUUUCUCUCCUCCUUCUCUAAGAAACCCAGUCUUAAUUCCACACAAUGCAUGCACAUGCAGUAGCUUCUCUGCUUGAGUGAGCUGGUGUGAUUAGGUUUUCUAAACAUGCACAUUGGCCUUGCUACUUGUCCUUUUAUUCCCUUCCCACAGACCAUAAACCAAGAAUUAUUUUUAUUUGUAUUAUUUUGAUUUUUUUAAAGUAAAAUAUUAACUUUUCCUCUUUGAAAUAAAUUCCCAUUUGGAACAUCAGCAUACAGUUUGAACAUUUAUUCGCCUCCUGAGCUUGUACAACAGUCGUGGGAGUUGCUGCAGAAGCAAGCGAAAAGCCAGAUGAGCGCUUCUAAACUUAGAGAGAGGAGAGUUGGGGCCUUCCAUUCCCUCCAGUAAAUACUUGUUUUUCUUCCACCGCUGAGGCAAAUGCGGGGUGGCUGAUCACCUGGCAGACAUCUUAGGAAACAGGAGCACCGGUCUGGGAAACUGCUGGCCUGGCCUAACACCUGGCGCUGUGGUGCAGGAGGGCAGCCACUGAGGAUUCUUGAGGAGAGAGAGACCAUAGAAUGAAUGAAAGAGUUGGAAAGACUUUAAAGCUCUGGGAGGCUGAAUCCUUUAUUUCGCUGGAAGAAAAACUGAAUGCCAAGAGGGCCUCACUUUCCCCAAAGCUAUACAGCCAUCAGGGGCAAUGCUGGGAUUCCCCCAUGGAUCUCUUGACUCCUAAUACAGUGCUCUUUCUGAUAUGCCAUCUGGCUCCAUAAUGAACAUUGUGUUCCAGGAAAAUCAGUCUGCGCUGAACAGGAUGGAAUUGGGGCAGGACGUCCAGUGAGGAGGACAUUGAGGCAGUAGAGCAGUUGAUUGCCGAAUGACCACCUACCCUGACUUAAAAGAUCAACCUCAGGGAGGAUUGGAGCUUUCUAGAGUCUCUUGGGACAGCAGAAGCACAGGCCGGGUUGGACUGAAUCUUUAAGUGGACAUGAGGGACAAAGUACCUCCUGUUGGUAAACAUCUCACCACCAACCCACUGUGGUGGCUAAAAUCCCACCUUUAGUCCCAGCAACAUAUGAGCAUGUCACCAGGAGGUCUUCACAGGCCUGUCUGCCACCUGAGUGUAGACAUCUUUUGGCCCUGGAGCCCAGAGAGGCUGAAUGUGGAGAGGGUGGAGAGAGGUCUGUAGUCCUCAGAGAAGACUUGCAGCUUUUUCAGAGCCACCAACCCAUAAAAAAAAAAAUCCCCAAACAGAAAAAUCCUAACUGUGGUGACCAGGUACCUCCUGAGACAUGAAGCCUCCACUUACCUGGACCCUGGAGGCCUCUCCGGGCACAGCUGCCAAUGUUGAUCUUAGAUAAGACCACCAGCAAGUAAACAUCCACUGUGCAAAGCUGUGUUAUCUUUGGGGAACUGAAAUGUCCCCUGGGAGUUGGAAACUCCCCUAGCCACAUACCACAGAGUUGAGGAAGGAAGAGCUGAUGGACGGAAGAACCAUGGCGGGAGGAGUCAUCCGGAAGCUACCUCGCUGCCCUGUCAGUUACGGAACAGAGGAGAGAUGCCGGCUGGAGGACACAGCAAAUUUGAACCAAGAGGAGCUUGGAGGAAGCCCGAGCGACCUGGAGGGGACUGGCUGACCUUCCUCAUUCUUUUCAAGUGUGAAUAAUAACCAAGCCCAGUUUGGCAACUCCUUGAGGGUGAGGACGAAGCCCCAUUCUCCUUUUUGGAACUUGGUGGGGCUCAGGAAGCAGGUUCUCUCCAGUCGGUGGCUUUCCUUUCUGUUGCGGGUCUCUUGAGGGCCUGCCUUCAUGAAGGCACAUGAGUGACUCAUCAUUUGUGAAUUAAUUGCUAUAUGUGAAGGGCAUCUGAGAACAAAUUAUCUUCAUAGACUUUUCAUUAUAAUUUUAUUUGUACUGAUAAUUAGUUGGUUUAGCAAGCUCUUUUUUCAUAGAUUUGGCUAAACUUCAGUCUGAAAGAGGCAAAUUCUGGGGUUCUAGAAAGAGAUUUUAUUCUUUGAUAUAGGGCUAUUUGGUGGGGUUGCUUUUUGUCCUAGUUGUAGCUUUUAUAAUUUCGAGAUUCACAUUUUGCAAUAGAAAUAUACAGGCAUACCUU